rnacentral:lncRNA from 1 species
GAUGCAGAAAAAUAAAGGUGGUCUUUUGUGCGCAGGGGCGAAGACCCUUUUUCAGAGCAUCGUAUGCCUAUUUAUAGAACCGUCUUUGCGUCAGUUAUCGCUCUUGCACGAUCAGCCACUAUCUCCUGAUUCGUAGGACCACUUUCGGCCGAUCGGAACCGCUCGUAACUGCUUGCGGUUAUUAUAACUCCUCGGUCCAGUGCGGCUUGUAUGUGUCCGGUGUACUCUAGGUCUGCCGUUUUAGCCGUCUUACGUAUAUGGACCCGGUAUGCCAGCUGUUCGCGUCUAACUGGCUCAACAAGAUCUAACAAACUAUUUGAUAAUAUUUUAAAAAAUAUAAUUUA